GGAAUCCCGUCCGGUAAGGUUAGCCAACCGCCGGUAAUUAGUCUUGGAGGGCAGAGGGUAACCGCUGUCUUUAAGCGUAGACAAACAAGCAAACGGGCCGAAAGCAGUAGCUGAAGGUGUUGAGCCCCGAAAUACCGAACAUGGGAAGGCAGAUGCUAUUGCCUGAGCAGAAUGCAACAUCCUGGAAGUCGAUAAGGCUAGACGACAGGACUUCCCCGGGGUCGGAGGCCU
rfam:Syntrophomonas wolfei subsp. wolfei str. Goettingen, complete genome.